UAUUGCACAAUGGGCGCAAGCCUGAUGCAGCCAUGCCGCGUGUAUGAAGAAGGCCUUCGGGUUGUAAAGUACUUUCAGCGGGGAGGAAGGUGUUGUGGUUAAUAACCACAGCAAUUGACGUUACCCGCAGAAGAAGCACCGGCUAACUCCGUGCCAGCAGCCGCGGUAAUACGGAGGGUGCAAGCGUUAAUCGGAAUUACUGGGCGUAAAGCGCACGCAGGCGGUCUGUCAAGUCGGAUGUGAAAUCCCCGGGCUCAACCUGGGAACUGCAUUCGAAACUGGCAGGCUAGAGUCUUGUAGAGGGGGGUAGAAUUCCAGGUGUAGCGGUGAAAUGCGUAGAGAUCUGGAGGAAUACCGGUGGCGAAGGCGGCCCCCUGGACAAAGACUGACGCUCAGGUGCGAAAGCGUGGGGAGCAAACAGGAUGAGAUACCCUGGUAGUCCACGCCGUAAACGAUGUCGAUUUGGAGGUUGUGCCCUUGAGGCGUGGCUUCCGGAGCUAACGCGUUAAAUCGACCGCCUGGGGAGUACGGCCGCAAGGUUAAAACUCAAAUGAAUUGACGGGGGCCCGCACAAGCGGUGGAGCAUGUGGUUUAAUUCGAUGCAACGCGAAGAACCUUACCUGGUCUUGACAUCCACAGAACUUUCCAGAGAUGGAUUGGUGCCUUCGGGAACUGUGAGACAGGUGCUGCAUGGCUGUCGUCAGCUCGUGUUGUGAAAUGUUGGGUUAAGUCCCGCAACGAGCGCAACCCUUAUCCUUUGUUGCCAGCGGUUAGGCCGGGAACUCAAAGGAGACUGCCAGUGAUAAACUGGAGGAAGGUGGGGAUGACGUCAAGUCAUCAUGGCCCUUACGACCAGGGCUACACACGUGCUACAAUGGCGCAUACAAAGAGAAGCGACCUCGCGAGAGCAAGCGGACCUCAUAAAGUGCGUCGUAGUCCGGAUUGGAGUCUGCAACUCGACUCCAUGAAGUCGGAAUCGCUAGUAAUCGUAGAUCAGAAUGCUACGGUGAAUACGUUCCCGGGCCUUGUACACACCGCCCGUCACACCAUGGGAGUGGGUUGCAAAAGAAGUAGGUAGCUUAACCUUCGGGAGGGC
rnacentral:rRNA from 1 species